rnacentral:rRNA from 1 species
UACGAAGGGGGCUAGCGUUGCUCGGAAUCACUGGGCGUAAAGCGCACGUAGGCGGACUCUUAAGUCGGUGGUGAAAUCCUGGAGCUCAACUCCAGAACUGCCUUCGAUACUGGGAGUCUCGAGUCCGGGAGAGGUGAGUGGGACUGCGAGUGUAGAGGUGAAAUUCGUAGAUAUUCGCAAGAACACCAGUGGCGAAGGCGGCUCACUGGCCCGGUACUGACGCUGAGGUGCGAAAGCGUGGGGAGCAAACAGG